AGCGAACGCUGGCGGCAGGCCUAACACAUGCAAGUCGAACGAACUCUUCGGAGUUAGUGGCGGACGGGUGAGUAACACGUGGGAACGUGCCUUUUGGUUCGGAAUAACUCAGGGAAACUUGUGCUAAUACCGAAUGUGCCCUUCGGGGGAAAGAUUUAUCGCCAUUAGAGCGGCCCGCGUCUGAUUAGCUAGUUGGUGAGGUAAUGGCUCACCAAGGCUACGAUCAGUAGCUGGUCUGAGAGGAUGAUCAGCCACAUUGGGACUGAGACACGGCCAAAACUCCUACGGGAGGCAGCAGUGGGGAAUCUUGCGCAAUGGGCGAAAGCCUGACGCAGCCAUGCCGCGUGAAUGAUGAAGGUCUUAGGAUUGUAAAAUUCUUUCACCGGGGACGAUAAUGACGGUACCCGGAGAAGAAGCCCCGGCUAACUUCGUGCCAGCCGCCGCUGUAACAC
rnacentral:rRNA from 1 species